UACGGAGGGUGCGAGCGUUGUCCGGAAUCACUGGGCGUAAAGGGCGCGUAGGUGGCGCGAGGAGUCUGUGGUGAAAGCCCGAGGCUCAACUUCGGGUCGGCCGCGGAUACUCUCGUGCUGGAGGGUGGUAGAGGCCAAUGGAAUUCCGGGUGUAGCGGUGGAAUGCGUAGAGAUCCGGAAGAACACCGGUGGCGAAGGCGGUUGGCUGGGCCACACCUGACACUGAGGCGCGACACGUGGGGAGCAAACAGG
rnacentral:rRNA from 1 species